rnacentral:rRNA from 74 species
UUAAGUUAUUAAGGGCGCACGGUGGAUGCCUUGGCACUAGAAGCCGAUGAAGGACGUUACUAACGACGAUAUGCUUUGGGGAGCUGUAAGUAAGCUUUGAUCCAGAGAUUUCCGAAUGGGGAAACCCAGCAUGAGUUAUGUCAUGUUAUCGAUAUGUGAAUACAUAGCAUAUCAGAAGGCACACCCGGAGAACUGAAACAUCUUAGUACCCGGAGGAAGAGAAAGAAAAUUCGAUUCCCUUAGUAGCGGCGAGCGAAACGGGAAGAGCCCAAACCAACAAGCUUGCUUGUUGGGGUUGUAGGACACUCUGUACGGAGUUACAAAGGACGACAUUAGACGAAUCAUCUGGAAAGAUGAAUCAAAGAAGGUAAUAAUCCUGUAGUCGAAAAUGUUGUCUCUCUUGAGUGGAUCCUGAGUACGACGGAGCACGUGAAAUUCCGUCGGAAUCUGGGAGGACCAUCUCCUAAGGCUAAAUACUCUCUAGUGACCGAUAGUGAACCAGUACCGUGAGGGAAAGGUGAAAAGCACCCCGGAAGGGGAGUGAAAUAGAACCUGAAACCGUGUGCUUACAAGUAGUCAGAGCCCGUUAAUGGGUGAUGGCGUGCCUUUUGUAGAAUGAACCGGCGAGUUACGAUUUGAUGCAAGGUUAAGCAGUAAAUGUGGAGCCGUAGCGAAAGCGAGUCUGAAUAGGGCGUUUAGUAUUUGGUCGUAGACCCGAAACCAGGUGAUCUACCCUUGGUCAGGUUGAAGUUCAGGUAACACUGAAUGGAGGACCGAACCGACUUACGUUGAAAAGUGAGCGGAUGAACUGAGGGUAGCGGAGAAAUUCCAAUCGAACCUGGAGAUAGCUGGUUCUCUCCGAAAUAGCUUUAGGGCUAGCCUCAAGUGAUGAUUAUUGGAGGUAGAGCACUGUUUGGACGAGGGGCCCCUCUCGGGUUACCGAAUUCAGACAAACUCCGAAUGCCAAUUAAUUUAACUUGGGAGUCAGAACAUGGGUGAUAAGGUCCGUGUUCGAAAGGGAAACAGCCCAGACCACCAGCUAAGGUCCCAAAAUAUAUGUUAAGUGGAAAAGGAUGUGGCGUUGCCCAGACAACUAGGAUGUUGGCUUAGAAGCAGCCAUCAUUUAAAGAGUGCGUAAUAGCUCACUAGUCGAGUGACACUGCGCCGAAAAUGUACCGGGGCUAAACAUAUUACCGAAGCUGUGGAUUGUCCUUUGGACAAUGGUAGGAGAGCGUUCUAAGGGCGUUGAAGCAUGAUCGUAAGGACAUGUGGAGCGCUUAGAAGUGAGAAUGCCGGUGUGAGUAGCGAAAGACGGGUGAGAAUCCCGUCCACCGAUUGACUAAGGUUUCCAGAGGAAGGCUCGUCCGCUCUGGGUUAGUCGGGUCCUAAGCUGAGGCCGACAGGCGUAGGCGAUGGAUAACAGGUUGAUAUUCCUGUACCACCUAUAAUCGUUUUAAUCGAUGGGGGGACGCAGUAGGAUAGGCGAAGCGUGCGAUUGGAUUGCACGUCUAAGCAGUAAGGCUGAGUAUUAGGCAAAUCCGGUACUCGUUAAGGCUGAGCUGUGAUGGGGAGAAGACAUUGAGUCUUCGAGUCGUUGAUUUCACACUGCCGAGAAAAGCCUCUAGAUAGAAAAUAGGUGCCCGUACCGCAAACCGACACAGGUAGUCAAGAUGAGAAUUCUAAGGUGAGCGAGCGAACUCUCGUUAAGGAACUCGGCAAAAUGACCCCGUAACUUCGGGAGAAGGGGUGCUCUUUAGGGUUAACGCCCAGAAGAGCCGCAGUGAAUAGGCCCAAGCGACUGUUUAUCAAAAACACAGGUCUCUGCUAAACCGUAAGGUGAUGUAUAGGGGCUGACGCCUGCCCGGUGCUGGAAGGUUAAGAGGAGUGGUUAGCUUCUGCGAAGCUACGAAUCGAAGCCCCAGUAAACGGCGGCCGUAACUAUAACGGUCCUAAGGUAGCGAAAUUCCUUGUCGGGUAAGUUCCGACCCGCACGAAAGGCGUAACGAUUUGGGCACUGUCUCAACGAGAGACUCGGUGAAAUCAUAGUACCUGUGAAGAUGCAGGUUACCCGCGACAGGACGGAAAGACCCCGUGGAGCUUUACUGUAGCCUGAUAUUGAAAUUCGGCACAGCUUGUACAGGAUAGGUAGGAGCCUUUGAAACGUGAGCGCUAGCUUACGUGGAGGCGCUGGUGGGAUACUACCCUAGCUGUGUUGGCUUUCUAACCCGCACCACUUAUCGUGGUGGGAGACAGUGUCAGGCGGGCAGUUUGACUGGGGCGGUCGCCUCCUAAAAGGUAACGGAGGCGCUCAAAGGUUCCCUCAGAAUGGUUGGAAAUCAUUCAUAGAGUGUAAAGGCAUAAGGGAGCUUGACUGCGAGACCUACAAGUCGAGCAGGGUCGAAAGACGGACUUAGUGAUCCGGUGGUUCCGCAUGGAAGGGCCAUCGCUCAACGGAUAAAAGCUACCCCGGGGAUAACAGGCUUAUCUCCCCCAAGAGUUCACAUCGACGGGGAGGUUUGGCACCUCGAUGUCGGCUCAUCGCAUCCUGGGGCUGUAGUCGGUCCCAAGGGUUGGGCUGUUCGCCCAUUAAAGCGGUACGCGAGCUGGGUUCAGAACGUCGUGAGACAGUUCGGUCCCUAUCCGUCGUGGGCGUAGGAAAUUUGAGAGGAGCUGUCCUUAGUACGAGAGGACCGGGAUGGACAUACCUCUGGUGUACCAGUUGUCGUGCCAACGGCAUAGCUGGGUAGCUAUGUGUGGACGGGAUAAGUGCUGAAAGCAUCUAAGCAUGAAGCCCCCCUCAAGAUGAGAUUUCCCAACUUCGGUUAUAAGAUCCCUCAAAGAUGAUGAGGUUAAUAGGUUCGAGGUGGAAGCAUGGUGACAUGUGGAGCUGACGAAUACUAAUCGAUCGAAGACUUAAUCAA